AACAAACGCUGGCGGCGUGCCUAAUACAUGCAAGUCGAACGGGGAAAGCUCUCGGGUGAGUACUAGUGGCGCACGGGUGAGUAACGCGUGGAUAAUCUGCCUUAGAGUGGGGGAUAACUAGUCGAAAGAUUAGCUAAUACCGCAUAAGACCACAAGAACUGCGGCUCAAGGGGUCAAAGGUUUUUCGCUCUAAGAUGAGUCCGCGUAAGAUUAGCUAGUUGGUAGGGUAACGGCCUACCAAGGCGACGAUCUUUAACUGGUCUGAGAGGAUGAUCAGUCACACUGGAACUGAGACACGGUCCAGACUCCUACGGGAGGCAGCAGUAGGGAAUAUUGCACAAUGGAGGAAACUCUGAUGCAGCGACGCCGCGUGAGUGAUGAAGGCCUUCGGGUCGUAAAGCUCUGUCGCAGGGGAAUAACACAAUGAAGGUACCCUGUAAGAAAUGAUCGGCUAACUUCGUGCCAGCAGCCGCCGUAACAC
rnacentral:rRNA from 1 species